GUCAAAUUGUUACCUAUUGUAGUAUUUUAAUCAGUUAAACUUUCUAAGAUAAUAAUACGAAUCUAUAAUACUAAAAUUACGAGGUCCAAUUUGUCAGCCGUCAUCACGUAAAAACGACGAAUAAAAAAAUUCAACUUUAUAUAUAACUAAUAUAGUACAAAGGUGUAGAUUAAAAAUUACACCACUCCAGGCCCUUUUGUUUUCCACGUAAUUAAUAUUGCCAAUAAUUAAGAAGUUCCGGGUCGAGUCCGAUACCGAUUCCAAUAGUAUAUUCACCUGUUACCGAUUACCUUAUCUGUACGUUCCGCAUCUGACAGGCUCACCACCAAACGGUGUAUUCAGGAUUAAUAUGCUAUAUAGUAUUACACGGGUCAUAAUCACAG
rnacentral:lncRNA from 1 species